UACGUAGGGUACGAGCGUUGUCCGGAAUUAUUGGGCGUAAAGAGCUUGUAGGUGGCUUGUCGCGUCUGCCGUGAAAAUCCAGGGCUCAACCCUGGACGUGCGGUGGGUACGGGCUGGCUAGAGUGUGGUAGGGGAGACUGGAACUCCUGGUGUAGCGGUGAAAUGCGCAGAUAUCAGGAAGAACACCGAUGGCGAAGGCAGGUCUCUGGGCCAUUACUGACACUGAGAAGCGAAAGCAUGGGGAGCGAACAGG
rnacentral:rRNA from 1 species